GAAUGCUGACAUAAGUAACGAUAAUGCGGGUGAAAAACCCGCACGCCGGAAGACCAAGGGUUCCUGUCCAACGUUAAUCGGGGCAGGGUGAGUCGACCCCUAAGGCGAGGCCGAAAGGCGUAGUCGAUGGGAAACAGGUUAAUAUUCCUGUACUUGGUGUUACUGCGAAGGGGGGACGGAGAAGGCUAUGUUAGCCGGGCGACGGUUGUCCCGGUUUAAGCAUGUAGGCGGAGGUUCCAGGUAAAUCCGGUACCUUUUUAACGCUGAGGUGUGAUGACGAGGCACUACGGUGCUGAAGUAACAAAUGCCCUGCUUCCAGGAAAAGCCUCUAAGCAUCAGGUAACACGAAAUCGUACCCCAAACCGACACAGGUGGUCAGGUAGAGAAUACCAAGGCGCUUGAGAGAACUCGGGUGAAGGAACUAGGCAAAAUGGUGCCGUAACUUCGGGAGAAGGCACGCUGAUAUGUAGGUGAAGUGAUUUACUCAUGGAGCUGAAAUCAGUCGAAGAUACCAGCUGGCUGCAACUGUUUAUUAAAAACACAGCACUGUGCAAACACGAAAGUGGACGUAUACGGUGUGACGCCUGCCCGGUGCCGGAAGGUUAAUUGAUGGGGUUAUCCGUAAGGAGAAGCUCUUGAUCGAAGCCCCGGUAAACGGCGGCCGUAACUAUAACGGUCCUAAGGUAGCGAAAUUCCUUGUCGGGUAAGUUCCGACCUGCACGAAUGGCGUAAUGAUGGCCAGGCUGUCUCCACCCGAGACUCAGUGAAAUUGAACUCGCUGUGAAGAUGCAGUGUACCCGCGGCAAGACGGAAAGACCCCGUGAACCUUUACUAUAGCUUGACACUGAACACUGGUCCUUGAUGUGUAGGAUAGGUGGGAGGCUUUGAAGUGUGGACGCCAGUCUGCAUGGAGCCAUCCUUGAAAUACCACCCUUUAAUGGCUGGUGUUCUAACGUGGACCCGUAAUCCGGGUUGCGGACAGUGUCUGGUGGGUAGUUUGACUGGGGCGGUCUCCUCCUAAAGAGUAACGGAGGAGCACGAAGGUUAGCUAAUCCUGGUCGGACAUCAGGAGGUUAGUGCAAAGGCAUAAGCUAGCUUGACUGCGAGAGUGACGGCUCGAGCAGGUGCGAAAGCAGGUCUUAGUGAUCCGGUGGUUCUGAAUGGAAGGGCCAUCGCUCAACGGAUAAAAGGUACUCCGGGGAUAACAGGCUGAUACCGCCCAAGAGUUCAUAUCGACGGCGGUGUUUGGCACCUCGAUGUCGGCUCAUCACAUCCUGGGGCUGAAGUAGGUCCCAAGGGUAUGGCUGUUCGCCAUUUAAAGUGGUACGCGAGCUGGGUUUAGAACGUCGUGAGACAGUUCGGUCCCUAUCUGCCGUGGGCGCUGGAGAAUUGAGGGGGGCUGCUCCUAGUACGAGAGGACCGGAGUGGACGCAUCACUGGUGUUCGGGUUGUCAUGCCAAUGGCAUUGCCCGGUAGCUAAAUGCGGAAGAGAUAAGUGCUGAAAGCAUCUAAGCACGAAACUUGCCCCG
rnacentral:rRNA from 1 species